GAUGAACGCUAGCGGCAGGCCUAACACAUGCAAGUCGAGGGGUAACUAGAGUGAUAGCAAUAUUACUUUGGCUAGACCGGCGCACGGGUGCGUAACACGUAUGCAACCUACCUUAUACUGGGGAAUAACUUCGAGAAAUCGGCGCUAAUACCCCAUAACAUUGCGAAGAGGCAUCUCUUUGCAAUUAAAGCUCCGGCGGUAUAAGAUGGGCAUGCGUCCAAUUAGCUAGUUGGUGAGGUAACGGCUCACCAAGGCUACGAUUGGUAGGGGUUCUGAGAGGAUGAUCCCCCACACUGGUACUGAGACACGGACCAGACUCCUACGGGAGGCAGCAGUGAGGAAUAUUACGCAAUGGACGAAAGUCUGACGCAGCCAUGCCGCGUGCAGGAUGACGGCCCUAUGGGUUGUAAACUGCUUUUGUACAGGAAUAAACCCUUCUACGUGUAGGAGGCUGAAGGUACCGUAAGAAUAAGCACCGGCUAACUCCGUGCCAGCAGCCGCGGUAACAC
rnacentral:rRNA from 1 species